rnacentral:rRNA from 1 species
GAUUAUGGCUCAGGAUGAACGCUAGCGGCAGGCUUAACACAUGCAAGUCGAGGGGCAUCGGGAGUAGCAAUACUGCCGGCGACCGGCGCAAGGGUGCGUAACGCGUGAGCAACAUGCCCGUAUCAGGGGGAUAAUCCAUGGAAACGUGGUCUAAUACCCCAUAGUAAUUAUGUAAGGCAUCUUAUAUAAUUUAAAGCUUUGGUGGAUACGGAUUGGCUCGCGUGACAUUAGCUGGAUGGUAAGGUAACGGCUUACCAUGGCUACGAUGUCUAGGGGUUCUGAGAGGAAGGUCCCCCACACUGGAACUGAGACACGGUCCAGACUCCUACGGGAGGCAGCAGUGAGGAACAUUGGACAAUGGAUGGAAAUCUGAUCCAGCCAUGCCGCGUGCCAGGAAGACGGCCCUAUGGGUUGUAAACUGCUUUUGUAUGGGAGCAAUAAGGGCUACGUGUAGUCCGAUGAGAGUACCAUACGAAUAAGCACCGGCUAACUCCGUGCCAGCCGCCGC